UAAGGAGUUUUCGGCAAUGGGGGGAACCCUGACCGAGCAACGCCGCGUGAAUGAUGAAGGCCCUAUGGGUCGUAAAAUUCUGUUGUAAGGGACGAAUGGCGCGAGUAGGAAAUGACUCGUGAUUGACUGUACCUUACGAGGAAGCCACGGCUAACUACGUGCCAGCAGCCGCGGUAAUACGUAGGUGGCAAGCGUUAUCCGGAAUUAUUGGGCGUAAAGAGUGAGCAGGCGGUCGUUUAAGUCUGAAGUCAAAGGCAGUAGCUUAACUAUUGUACGCUUUGGAAACUGGACGACUAGAGUUCGGGAGAGGUAAAUGGAACUUCAUGUGUAGCGGUGAAAUGCGUAGAUAUAUGAAAGAACACCAGUGGCGAAGGCGAUUUACUAGACCGAUACUGACGCUCAGUCACGAAAGCGUGGGUAGCAAAUAGG
rnacentral:rRNA from 1 species